rnacentral:rRNA from 1 species
GAUGAACGCUGGCGGCGUGCCUAAUACAUGCAAGUCGAGCGAACGGACGAGAAGCUUGCUUUUCUGAUGUUAGCGGCGGACGGGUGAGUAACACGUGGAUAACCUACCUAUAAUACUGGGAGAACUUCGGGAAACCGGAGCUAAUACCGGAUAAUAUUUUGAACCGCAUGGUUCAAAAGUGAAUGACGGUCUUGCUGUCACUUAUAGAUGGAGCCGCGCUGCAUUAGCUAGUUGGUAAGGUAACGGCUUACCAAGGCAACGAUGCAUAGCCGACCUGAGAGGGUGAUCGGCCAAAACGGAACUGAGACACGGUCCAGACUCCUAAGGGAGGCAGCAGUAGGGAAUCUUCCGCAAUGGGCGAAAGCCUGACGGAGCAACGCCGCGUGAGUGAUGAAGGUCUUUGGAUCGUAAAACUCUGUUAUUAGGGAAGAACAUAUGUGUAAGUAACUGUGCACAUCUUGACGGUACCUAAUAAGAAAGCCACGGCUAACUACGUG